GAUGAACGCUGGCGGCGUGCCUAAUACAUGCAAGUCGAGCGAACAGACGAGGAGCUUGCUCCUCUGACGUUAGCGGCGGACGGGUGAGUAACACGUGGAUAACCUACCUAUAAGACUGGGAUAACUUCGGGAAACCGGAGCUAAUACCGGAUAAUAUAUUGAACCGCAUGGUUCAAUAGUGAAAGACGGUUUUGCUGUCACUUAUAGAUGGAUCCGCGCCGCAUUAGCUAGUUGGUAAGGUAACGGCUUACCAAGGCGACGAUGCGUAGCCGACCUGAGAGGGUGAUCGGCCACACGGGAGCUGGGACACGGUCCAGACUCCUACGGGAGGCAGCAGUAGGGAAUCUUCCGCAAUGGGCGAAAGCCUGACGGAGCAACGCCGCGUGAGUGAUGAAGGUCUUCGGAUCGUAAAACUCUGUUAUUAGGGAAGAACAAAUGUGUAAGUAACUAUGCACGUCUUGACGGUACCUAAUCAGAAAGCCACGGCUAACUACGUG
rnacentral:rRNA from 1 species